UUUCUGUGCCCCAUAUAUCGCACAUGAGGACCUCGGUGCUUCUAAUUUUUUUUACCGAAAAUAAGUAUAGCUAAGUCUCUCAGAUAUUUUAAAGAAAUUUACGAAAAGAAAGUCGGGUCUUAACUAGCUCCCUUUACCUAAUAUUAGGGUUUCCAGCUUUCAAUGCACUUUAUACCAUAUCUAUGACGAAUAUAAGUAUGAAUCAAAUUGUGUGUUUUAUAUUAAAAAAGUUAAAAAAAAAUUGCGAGAGUAUAAAAUGUUCGGUUACAUACGAACUUAGCCCUUCCUUACUUGUUUUUCAAUGUUUUUGUAAAAAAAUAAAUCCGAAAAUAUAUCUUAUUAUGUCCGAAAAACUUCAAAACAUUCGAUCGAGUACUUUCUUUUCACGAAAUCAUGAAAAUCGCCAACAUUUUCAAGGUUUUCACAGGUAUAGCCCCUUAACGGCAUUAUAAAAAUACUGUAUCAGGGUUUAUCACAGCCGUAUCUGAAGUGACCAUAACGUACAACGAUAGUUAAGAGCUUUAGUAUAUAAUAGGGCCCUUAUCAGCCUGCCGUGAAACGAGUCACCAAUUUCCAAACCUUAGUCAAUUCGAAACCACUUAGUUUCGUCUCUCUCUCUUUUUACAUUAUUGCAUUCAUAUAUUUUAUUUUAUGAAUUAUGCUUCAAUAUAGGUAUUUAUGCAGAAAUAUUUUCUUUGAUAUACACCUGCUUACAUUUAAGGGUCAUAAAUCUAAUGUUUAUGCAGUCGUGGACUGUAUAGAAUUUAAAAUUGCCACCAGUUGUUUUCGUAUAUGAGCUAUUAAAUUUUAAUGAUAUCAAUGUAUUACGUGUUUGUCAUUCAAAUGGAAAUCAUUUUCAAUACUUACACAGAUACAUUAAGAAAUUGAUUGGUAAAUGAGCAUAGACAUUGAAUAGUUCAACAAAAAAUUAAAAUGGAAUUUUGUGAAUUUUCUCAAAUAAAUAUUUGCAGUUGAAGUACAUACAUACAUAAUUUAAAUAAGAUUUGAAUAUUUAAUGAAGGAAAGAAAUUACUAACAACCACACAUAUUUUUAAUUUUUCUAAAACCAAAAUGUCACGUAAUGAACUGAAGACGCAUGUAAUUAAAAGCGCUUCGUAAAUAUCUCCUUUUCGUUUAGUUGCAGUAGACAUAAAUAAUUGUGACAGGUGCUAAGUCAUGAGAAAUUCACAUUUCCGUUAAAUGUGGCAACAUCAACAAAUUCGUAUAACGUGCAGAAAUUACAAAAGUGAAGUUAUUUGUUGCAUUUGCUGCUGUUGCGAGUUGAGCGGUUUGCCAACUCAGCCACUUGGGGAUUCCACCAAUUAAUUCCUUUGUUUUAAUUUAUUUCUGCCUUGUGCAGUACUUUUGUUCGUUGACUCUACUACAUGCAUAUGACUGAAACAAUUAACCUCAGAGCGCAUUCACUUGAGAAUAUACAGAUGAAAUAAAAUUAUUUGCAAACUUUUUAAUUUAUUCAUAAACUUUGCUAUGUAUACCUUUUGGUUUUUCGAAGUAGCACUUGCAUACGAAGUACUUACGAGGGCUGUCCGGUAAAUAUUUGGUUCUCACAACCCAAGUAGCAUCCCUAUCACAAGGACAUUUACUAUCCUAUAGUACACGUCUCAAUCUCGAUUUUGGGGAUAUCCAACGGCUAUAUAAGGUUAUCUUAGUUUUUUGAAAUAAGAAAAAGUCACACGGAGUCAUGACUGGCGAAUAUGGAGACUAGAGCAUCAAACAAAUCACAUCAAACAUCACAACAUCGUAUUUCAGGGCCAUUUAUAUAUGUAAAUUGGAAUCUUUAUUAUUAUUUUAAAUGACAUUUUUAAACACAUUAUAAGUCUUGGCAAACCUGAGAUUUUUGGUGUAGAAUGAAAGAACAAUGUCCUUUCCGAUGAUAGUCCAUAGCCCUGCUGGAAUGAAGAGCAUAAGUCCAGUUGAGGUCAUCUAAGGCCCAGGCAAUAUGCUGUUUCGAUGGGGGGGUAUCGGACCAAACUGAAAGGGGUAUCAGAUGAGUUGGGUUCGUUGGACUAGUAUCAUGCGGGGACUCAUUGCAGGACGACAUGUAUUCUGUAUGUCGGGGUUCAGUCUGGUUAAAUAGGAGUUUAACCUGUGGCUCUACUGUGAAUGGCGUUUAAGGCAUGGCUGAAGCUAUCCGCGUCCGCAGACUGACGAAUUGCGUUAUGUUGUCCACUUAUUGCUGGAGUGACCUCUUCAUGCCCCUGGGCGGUUCCGCUUCAAGCAAAUGACUACUUGGGUGAUUUCGGCGAAAAGAAGCAAGAAAGUUCAACGAGGUAGUCGUUCACUUUCGAACACAUAUUAUCAAUUCCAGUGCCCGACGUCAUUAUCGUGCAUCUGAAUGUAACUGAAAUUCCCUCUGGUGGUUGAGGGAGUUUUGAGAUAGAGAAAUUAAACAAUAGCGGGUAGUGGACACUAUCCCCGAAAUAGUAGGGACGAUUGCCGACCGCUCAGGCAGUUCAUGGGCCAUCUCUUCAGCCCCGGAGAAAGUGUUGUUUGCUCUGUGUCUUCCAGUAGCGUUAUAAGGUUGACCGGCUUUUGACAGGUCCAGAGUCACUAGGACGGUUCUCUUUCAGGAUGGUUACUGAUUAAGGCCAUGAACUAUCGAGCGUUUAUAACGCUAAGUGCUGUGCUAAGUAUUAAAGUUUGAUCUCAGUUCAUUGAAAUGUUCAAGGCUUUAGUUUUUCAUAUGAUUUCCAAGAAUUAAUAAAAAACAAGUAAGGAAAGGCUAAGUUCCGGUGCAACCGAACAUUUUAUACUUUCGCAAUUUAUUGCUAUAUUUUUAUUAAGAAAACACACAAUUUGCCCCAUAUAUUCGGCAUAAAUAUAUUUCACAUAUUAACCGAUUUAUAAGCUAUUAAGCUCAUCGUAUUUUUGAAAAUAUAAUUAGGUAUUCUCAUAUAUUCAUAUAUAAGGGAAUUAUGACCCGAUUUUAACCUCUUCUGGUACAGAGACACACUAUUAGAAGAAAAAUAUUUCCUCUGUACUAAAUUAAGAUAACUGAGAGAUUUACCGAAAUUUUCGGUGAAAAGUUACCAUGGGGCACUGAGUUCUUCAUUUUCGAUAUCCGGGCAUUGAAAAGUUAUAGUCCGAUUUCGACAAUUUUUUCACAAGUGAUGCCCCAGAUCAUAUACAGUAUUUGAGUAAAGUUUUAUUUCGCUAUCUUCAUUGGUUCCUUAUGUAUAUACAUAUUAUAAAGUGAAGGAAUAAGAUGAAAUUCAAAAAUUAGUUAUAUGGGAAGUUGUCGUGGUUGUGAACCGAUUUCGUCCAUUUUUCACACGUGUCAUCAGGGUGUCAAGAAAAUAUUAUAUACCGAAUUUCAUUGAAAUCUGUCGAGUAGUUCCUGAGAUAUUGUUUUUGACCCAUAAGUAGUCGAUGCCACGCCCAUUUUCCAUUUUGUAAAAAAUUUUCAGUGCAGCUUGCAAAUUUUUAGUAAUUUUUAACCUAACCUUUGUGUGGGAGGUGGGCGUGGUUAUUAUCCGAUUUCAACUAUUUUCAUGGUGUGUGGUGGGGUACGUAGGAGAACCGACUGCAGAAAGUUUGGUUUAUAUAGUUUUAUUGGUUUGCGAGAUAUAUACAAAUAACCGAUUUGGGGGCGCGGCCACGCCCGUUUUCCCAAAAAUUUUACUUUAAUAACUUUAUUUAUGGCUUAGUUAUAACACUUUAUAGAGUUUUCGUUUUCGCCAUUUUGUAGGCGUGGCAAUGGUCCGAUUUUGCCCAUUUUCGAAAGCAACCUCCUCAGGGUGCCAAGGAAUACGUGUUCCAAGUUUCGUUAAAAUAUCUAAAUUUUUACUCGUUGCACGGACAGACGGACGGACGGACAGACAGACAUCCGGAUUUCAACUCGUCUCGUCAUCCUGAUCAUUUUGAUAUAUAUAACCUAUCUAACUCGUUUAGUUUUAUGACUUACAAACAACCGUUAUGUGAACAAAACUAUAAUACUCUCUUAGCAACUUUUGUUGCGAGAGUAUAAAAAAAAAUUUCUCGAUUCAUUACAAAGGAACGUAAUUUACAGUAUUUUGUUGAAAAUUUAAACUUAAUGUAUACACCUCGUUAUUAUUUCCAUAUUAAGGAGCUUAAAUACUUUACUUAAUUACUUUGUCAGAAUUUCCUUCCAUUAAUUUUAAUAAAAUAAUUAAAUCAUAAUUCUUCAAUAUAUCAACAACACUUUUCUACCACGACCUCUGUCGAAUAUUUUGUGCUUAUAUGAAAAUAAUAAAUUUUUAUUGCACAAAAUUAAUGCGUAAACAAAAAUUUCACGAACAAACAUUGCAAUCCACUUUUUGCUUUUGCUCACCUUCUUUUUCAGAGUUCCUUUUUACAAUUUCGUUUAUUUGUGCAAAACACAACGUGUACGCAGCUUUCCUUCACAAUUACUAACAUAUCAACAAAAUGCAAAAACAGUGCACAAAUUUCAGCCGCUAUGCAUGAACAUAAAUGAUCAAGCAAAAAUCAGCGCAAGUUGACAAUAGAAAAAUUGGUGUGCGGUCAGCGGUUGUAAUACAUGCUCGUGUUCGGACUAUUGUUCGCGUUCGGAGUGAAUUUAUAAAUAAAGAUCACUACUUUUCUAAUAUGUAUAUGUUUAUAGAACUUAUGUUUAAUAUUCUAAGUUGUGUAAUUGAAGUGCGUGGUAAGAAUAAUAAAAUGGAAUGCGGUUGUGUUCGAAAUAGUGAAAUUAGUGUUAUGUUUCAAGCAAAAAAUGUGGUGGAAAAAGUGAAAAUAAGUGAAAAGUGUUUAAAGUGCAAUUAUGUUAAAAUUACUGAUAGUGAAGAGCGCAAAUAAUUAAAGUAAUAAAAUAAGUGAAGUGUUUGAAAAUGGUGAAGGUCUUGUAUUUAGUCGUCUCGCAAUAGUAAUUUCUGUUUAUUCGUUCGUGCGCUCGUCUUUUUCGUGAACAUAAAUAAUAGAGACACAUUUAAUUUUACGCCUAAAAAAUCUAGGUGAGUAAAUCAAUAAAAUGGGGAAACUUUAGUAUAUAAUAUAAUAGUAUCCCACGAUUUCAUGGAAAAAAUAAAUUAAAUCUCUAAAGAUAAUUAUGAAAUAAAUUUUGCAUUUAAUAAAAGAAAAAUAUUUUAGGGCUUAUAACUGUGUUUUAUUGUCUCUAAUAAUUUUGAAAACGGAUCUAAAUGCCAAUUUGAAAUAUUUUUUCUCCAAAUAUAUUCAUAAAUUUUGAUUUUUUUUUUGUGAUUUUUAUUUUUUGAAACCAUGAACUGUUGUCUGCGACUAUUCUCACGUCCGAUGUUUUAGCCUCUGGACUGACCUCCUAAAGAUUCAGACGGAAGAGCUCUGUCAUGAACUCGUCAGGAGUAAUCUGGGUGGGCACCCCUUGCACCACAACUCUCGGCCCUGUCUUCUUAUUUACGGUCACGCUAAGACCGACAACUCCAAAUUUGACAUUAUUUGCCACUUUCUCCCUUUCCAAUACAGAGCGGGUGCGGAUGACCACACCACCACUCUUAAUGGGCUUCACCUCGUGCACACGUACACCGAGGGAAGGUCCCACCUCUUUCACGACCUUAUAUAUAACUUCUUUGGAGGAAGUUACAAGAGCCUUGCUCCUCACUACGACCGACCAGAUCUCUACUGCCUUUGGCAGCGUUGGCGCUAUUGCACGGGUGCUGGAGGGGCAGGCGCCGAAGCCCCACGAGCAGGCCUUGCUCCACCUGAAGAAACGGAGGGUCCCCCACGACAUUCCUUCAGCGCAUGCACUUGCCCGCGAAGAUGCGCAUUCUCCAUAAUAACGGACAUUAAAAGUUCCUCAUAUUUAGAGGUAACCGCCAUGAGUUCCUUCACGGCAGAGACCUCUAGGUUUUCCGACCCGAAAAAUACUUCCCUAAUCUCGGCUGUUACAACUUUUAUAGCUGCAACAUGGCCGACAGCGCUACCCCCAACUACGAACCAUUUCCGUGCCUACGACAUCCUUAGCGGCGCCCUUACUCCCGGCUGGUUUCUUGGGGUUGACGACUGCUUCUGUCAUGCCCCCUCUCCCACCUUCACUACAGCAUUCGCCCUCGCUUCCGCUUUCGUCGAACUUCACCAGCGGUGGUGAGCCCACCCGCUGCUUCCUGCGCUUUGGUGACCUCGGACGUGGUCCCACACCAUCCUCAUCCGUCGUGGAUACCACCUCGACCGUUGCGGAUACGGAAUCCUCGCCCUCCGCACGCGCCUUGGCUUCUUUCCUCCGAGGUGGAGCCAUAUCCACCUACACUGGGUGGUACUCUCGUGUACCUGCACCACAACAACACAAAGUACAAACACUCACGAUAAGCACAACACUUCUGGGAAAAUGUCUUUAAUCUUUAGCACUCGCGACCGCGUACCUGCUCUACAACAAUGUUUUACUGGUCUUCAAUAUUAUUACACACCAGGCAAUAACGAUGUCUAUAUUUUUGUUUAAUCACUCCCGAAAAAGUCCUUGUAGAUACCUCAUCCAAAUUUUCUAAUCAUUAAGUGCCGCAAUAGUGUCUGUAUCAUUCAUUCUAACCGUUAGUUGUGUUUUGCUGUUGUAAUGUAUACUCUUAUCAACACGUUUGCAUACCAUGACAAUAUACAAUUACUACCAACACCCACUUUUCGAAACCUCAAGUGCCACUAAACCGCAAUUGACAACUCCUUCAAUCGUAUUUGAGUGACGGCAAACAAUGAAACGAGCACAAAAACAACAUUGUAUUGUAUGUACAUAUAUGGAAGCAAUCAGAACCCGACUACCAAUAUAGAAUUUGACAAAUUGGCAGGUGAUGGGCACAUAUAGAUAUUUAGAGUAUACAAAUAAACAUUUGUUUAUUUUCGGACGUGUAUUGUGUUCUGUGGUGUUUAUGUGGAGGAGGGUUUAAGCUGUCAUUCGAUCCUCCUUGGCUUUAUUAGUCAAGUUGGCGUGGUAUGAUAUCUAUUCGUGCUUUUGGCAAAUGUCGAAAUAUCAAAACAUUUCGGAUUGAGUAAAGACAUACAUAUUUACACGCAAUGUAACCCAAUAAAUAGUCAGGAUGGAGUUGGUUUUCCUCGAAAAUUUUCAGGGAUUAUUUUACAAAAAUAAAGGAAGAAGAUAAAAAUUUUGAUUUACUAUUUAGUUGUAAGGAUUCUCUUUGAUAUUAAUUCGAAUUUUCUCAUCUCCGGAUAAUCAUUGUAAAUCUCAUAUGAGAGUAUAACGAGAAGUUUGAAGAAAUGGAUUUCCAUUGUUUGUUGGGUAUAUCAGAUUUGUGUGACUACAGAUUCUCCGAUGUGUACGAGUAUGUUACGUUUAAGUACAUCUGUAUCCACUUAAGUAUGCUCGCAUGAGUAACUAAUAUACUUCGAGAGUAUAUUUGACUGUUAGAUUAAUACUUCUUACAAGUGUGACUCAUAUACAUAGAAAUAUAUAUAGGAAUGUAUACUUCAACAAUAUUUCACGUGUCCAUAAGCUAGCUACAUUUUUUACACUUAAUAUAAAAUAAAUCCAAAUCAACUUGUGCGAAGGACGUACAGAAAGCACCAGGUGUUGCAUAACUAAUUGAGCGUAAAAGCUAAUAUUUGGACAAAUUGGAAAUAUUGCAAAUGUUCAAAGGGAAUAUCAAGUGUAUAGCGAAGAAAUUGUAAUAAUCUUAUUAAAAGCUUACUUAAAAUGCUUGACCAUUACAUUUUGACUAAUGCGAAAUAAUUUAUAUUGCGCUUAAUGCUCAAGCUAAUUUACAUCAAUCAAAUCGAAUGAAAGUUGAUUUCAUACAGUGAAAACUCUGAGCGAAAAGUUGCAGUUAAGCUUUUACAGAUGUGCUUACACUUAUUUACUAUAAAUUUUGUGUACUCGAAGGUACCAUCUCACGAGGCAUUUUUUCCACUUUGCUAAGUCAAGGAUAUUUUAUGAAAUACGUUGAUGGCCUUAUGUAUUUUAAAUUUAUCAUCGCAUGACAUGUUUUACGAAUUCUGAAAGCAUAUUCUACAAGUGUAUAGCUUCUAGUUAUGUUAAAAUGUGCCAAUUAUAUGUGUUGCCUACAUUUAGGCACAUUGUUUAGUACUUUUUGUCAUAUUAUUUCCGUAAAGUAUGCUAUAAAAUACGUUUCUGUCUACCAAACUUAUAGUUUAUCAAAUAUAUUCUUACAUAUUAACUAGAUAAAAAUAAUUAAAUUUUAAUAUUUGUAAGCGAAAAAAGUAUAAAAAGCCGAGUUUGCAAAAUUAAAUUGUCAUUUAAUUGAAGAUUGCAGACGAUUAAGGUUCCGAAAUAUUACAGUUCUUAAGGUGACUUCAUAUUAUUAUGGAAUCUUUAUCUCGUGCGACUUCUUCAAUCUAUUACUGGAGAAAAUAAGCUGCAGCGCUAUAUAGAGAAGGUACAAUCUUCCACAAGAGUAUACAGCUGCUGGCGUAUGCCGAUGAUAUUGAUAUCAUCGGAAGCAACAACCGCGCCGUUUGUUCUGUCAUCAAACAAACAGUCAGCACACUCGCGUCUUGGCUCCCACGUCACUGUUGACAGUCAUACCAUUGAAAUAGUAGAUAGUUUCGUCUACUUGGGAACCAGCGUUAACAACACCUUCAGCCCUGAAAUACAACGCUGAAUCUCUCUUGUACAGGUGUUACUUUGGACUGAGUAGGCAAUUGAACAGUAAAGUCCUCUCUCGACGAACAAAAAUCAAACUCUACAAGUCGCUCAUUAUUCCCGUCCUGAUGUAUGGCGCCGAAGCCUGAACGAUGACAACAUCCGAUGAGACGACUCUUGGGGUUUUCGAGAGAGAGGUUUUGCGUAAGAUUUAUGGUCCCCCGCCAAAUAUAUAUAUAUAUAUAUUAUAGAAUACAGAAACAAUAUGUACAUACAUACAUAUAUGGCUGUUGUAAAAAGAAAGUUCACACAAAACUAAAAAUAAGUUUAAAAGGGAGAACUAAAGCAGAUCAGUUGUUGAAAGUCCACUUUUUAUCUUCGGCAGAGGUAUGCUUUGCGAUAUUAGUCCAUUGGAAGGUUUUCAAUGAAUGAUAUGGAAGUAGGCUUGCUGUAAAGGGGCGGAUCCGGACUAGUGUUACGCUUGAUUUUGUCACGUACAACUUUUGAUGAAGCAUGCUCUUUAGAUAUAGAAUGCUUCUCUCCUUGAGGACAAGGAGAUGAAAGAUUGAUGAGACCUACUAAUUCUCUUCAAAGAAGAAGAAAUUUAUUUUUUAUCAGACGAAUCAUUCAUUCAUUAUCAUUCACGUUAAGUGUAAUUUUUUUUAAAUAUUCUCCGAAAAUAUGCAGUUAAUACCAUUAUUAAUUUUCGAGUUAUUCGACAUAUAAGAAAGAGUGCUCUGGCACUCAAAAACGCUAGUGUGAAACUUUAAAUGCGUUUUGCUCAAAACUAUGUUUUUUACACUGGUGACAACUGUAACUUGGAAACCUAUUAGUAGGUUUUAAUAGAAUUGCUACAGCUCUUAAGGGGUUAUAUACAGUUAGAAUUUUCAAAACAUCGAUUUUUUUUAUUUCAUUUUCUUAAUGUACAUAUAUUUAAGAAUACACACAGAAAAUUUCAUAUCGUUCCGGUGAAUAUUUUCAAAGUUACAAGCAAAUGAAAAAUUUGAAAAGGCGUUUCAGAGUGCUUGGAAGUACAAGGUCCAAACUUUAAACGCGUUUUUCUCAAAAUGGUGUUUUCAAAGGUGUAUUCCUUCGAUUAAUUACUAGAUUUAAUAUUAUUUUAACGAAAUCUGUUUGGUUUUUUUAAUUUCGGAUGAUCCAGUUCCGAGAUAUAGUGGUCACCGCGAAACGUCUUUUUUGAGAGGAGCUCCUGGAGAUCAGCUGUAGCUCUUUUUCAAAUAAAUAUUUUUACUAGUACUAAGUCUUAAAAUACAGUUAAAAGAUACCAUAAUAUGUGUAUAAAGUUUUGGAUCAAUAAAUUAAAAAGUUUUCUCAGAAAAAAUUCUGGAAAAUUCACUUUUUUUCGGCCGUCUAACUGUAUAUAACCCCUUAAAACACAUAAUUAUUCUGUACCAAAUAAAGACUUUUACUUUUUUUUUCAAAAAUUUCGAUUCUUUUAGACCAAUUAACUGUCGAUUUUUUCUAUAUAGAAAAACAAGUAGUAGUAGCUUAUCCAUGUAUCGCAGAUAAGGCUCUAAAGGUUCCCUAAACUUACAAUACAUACUAGCAACACUCAGCCUACCGAACUCCCCCUCUACAGAUACACAUACACCCUCUUGUAACGAAUCCAAGACUAUGCAGUCGUAGCUUGGGUCAGUCACAACUAUUGUAGCAUUACACCCAAGGUCCGCGAAGACCCUGAAACCCCCAGGAAGACCACUUAUCCCCCAAUGGGUGGUGUAGGGCUCCUGGAGUAAGGCGAUGCUGCAUCCACAAUCUAAAACACGACGCCCUAACUCACACAUGACGGCAUAGGACCCCUGACAAGUUAAUUGCAAAAUCCCCCCCAUUAGUGUCUAGCAAGGGCACGCUCGACAAUGCCGCAGUAGACUGGGCAAGCAGCUGACAUCUUAUGGUACCCCGCUGGUUUACCCUUGAAAGCGUAGUUGCGACAAUGCAGUGCAUUGGCGCAGCGGGCAGGUCUGUGGCCUUCCUGACCACAUCUGCGGCAGACAUCGGAUUUGACCUUGCAUUCCGCUACUCUGUGGUCAAAUCCCAUACACCGGAAGCAACCGGCGGCUACAGGGCUAUCCGCACGAACACGGAAGGAAAACCACCCGGUAUAACAUCUUCCCGCUUCUAAGAGGGCAAACAUUAAUUUGUCUGAGCCCUCGAGAACAACGUUAGUUGUACGGUCAGCCUCCACCUUCCAGGGGCGACUGACUAUUCUCACAUCCGAUGUUUUAGCCUCUGGACUGACCUCCUGAAGGUUCAGACGGCAGAGCUCUGUCGUGAACUCGUCAGGAGUAAUGUGGGUGGGCACCCCUUGCACCACAACUCUCGGCCCUUCUUAUUUACGGUCACGCUAAGACCGACCUCUCCAAAUUUGGCAUUAUUUGCCACUUUCUCCCUUUCCAAUACAGAGCGGGUGCGGAUGACCACACCAAAAUCUUUAGAUAUAGAAUGCUUCUCUCCUUGAGGACAAGGAGAUGAAAGAUUGAUGAGACCUAUUAAUCCUUGCGUUUUUCUCAAACCAAUGUUAUUUAAACUGGUGACAACUGUAACUUGAAAACCUAUUAGUAGGUUUUAAUAGAAUUUCUACAGCUCUUAAAACACAUAAUUAUUCUGUAUGAAAUAAAUGGUUUUUAUUUUUUUUCAAAAAUUUCGAUUUUUUUUAGACCAAUUAACUGUCGAUUUUUUCUAUAUAGAAAAAAAUCCGGUGGCCGCCAUUUUGUUAAUUAAAAUAAAAAGAAAAAAACUUCGAUCCCCCAGGAUUAUCUAUUUAUAAAACACAUUUUUCUUAUCCGAUUGAUUUUAGAUUAAUCUACAAGGACUUUUUUUUGGAACUGGGUCAACACAUACAGCUUUAAUUUUGAAAAUUACAAUUUUUUUUUCAAAUUUUCGUGACUUCAAAAUCCCGAUUUUAUCGAUAUUAGAACACUAUUAGAAGAAAACGACUUCCACUGAAUUUCUAUAAAAUAUAAAAAAUAUAUAAGAGAUUUUCCGAGAUUUUAAUUGAAUCGGUAUAAAUAUCAAAAACCACAAAAUCUCUUCGUUUUUUAUUCGCUGGUAAAUAUUUUAAAUUAUGAAAACUUAUCCAACUUCAUGGUACGUAAAUAUUUCGCAAUUUUGGAUUUUUUCUUCAUUCAUUUAAAUAAUUUAACAACUGCUCAUUGUUCUGUCAAAUAAAUACACACACUCAGACAGCUGGCUUGUCAAACUGUUGGCAGUUCGGAAGCUGGGAAAAAAGCUGAGGUAAUGAGUUGGAAAAUUAAAAAUUUACUGAGGAAAUGAACCGCUACGCUUGAGCAAAAAGUGAGUGAACAUAAUAGUAUGUAAAUACUUACAUAAGUACAGUUAUUAAACUGAGAAAUUGCCAAAAAUAUGGAAAUUAAGAAUUAAGAAAGAACACUCAUAUUAUACAGAGGUAGUCAAAAUUAUUUAAACAUCGGACGUUUUUUUACAAGUUUCACACAAAAAGCUUUCGCUUCUUGUUGUUGUUGUCGCAGGGUCACAAAAUGCUAUAUUGUUGUAAACCUUGAUCUAUUCCCGAGCGAAUGAAGUCGGUUUGGCAAGAAUAGUUAGAAAUAUGUCGGAGAAAUAGGCAAAUGAACUGAAGACUCGCAGUAGACAAAAGUAUUUACACGCAACUUGAACUCUAUUAUCCUGUUCUUAUUUAAUGAUCUUUUUUUUUUAAUUUUAAUGUUUAGUCUAAGUUACUAUUCUAAGGCGAUAAAUUCAUAGUUGGUUACACCGCCGUUGGCAUCAUUAAUAGCCUGCUUUAUGGUCCGAAUUGAUUCAACCCAAUUGUGCGCUAAGUUUUCGGUUAUUAUAUCAAUUGUCCUCUGAUAUUUAACGAAUGUCCAAAUAUUUUCAAUAAAGUUAAGGUCGGGGCCCUGCGGAGGUCAAGUUGACUUGCUUCACUUAAAAGUUUUGUUGGUAACGAUUCUUUAUGAAAUGGAGCAUUGUCCUGUUGUAAAAUGUUGUCAAUAGUUGGAAGAGGCCGACUAACCACUACAAUGACAUGUUCAUGGGAAUUCUGAUAUAUCCGGAUGAUUUAGGGUUCCUAAAUUAGUACCAAAUCUCCAGUAAAGAAGACUUCCCCCAAAAAAUCAUAAUGUCACCUCCGACUCUAUUUAGCGUCUAAACGUCUAGUACGUGAUAAAUGCAUAAAGCGUUUACUAAAAAAGCCCUGGAACUAAACUUUAGUCUUAUCUGCCCACGACAGACUUUAGGAUACAAUUUAUGGCAAAUGAGAGGCAUAUCGAUUUUCCGGGAUCGGAUCGGUGUCGGAAAUAUUGACCACUUUAUGCACAACGUAGGCAUUUCUGUUAACUUUUUGUAACGUCCUGAGCAGUGUAGCAUCAUUGACUGUUCAUGCAAUAUGCUGAUUCGAUGCUGAUGCACUAUUAACAGGACUAUUUAUGGGAUUUUGUAUGACAGUUCCUACUAAUCUUCUGCAUUCUCUUUGAGUUAUCACAGGUUUCCGCCCAGUUAUCUUUAAAUUGUUCUUGCAAUAUUCCAUGUCCUUCUUUUUAAUAACAUUAUAAACCGUAUACCAUCAAAUGUUAUAAAUUUUUACUAACUCCGAAGCCGAAACCCCAGUCUUAAACUUAGUAACAGUCUCCGAUCUAGUUAUAAUCCAUAAUUUUUUAUAUGGUAAUAAUAAGUUUUAUAUGGCAAGGCUUUGUUAGUUAGUUAUGAAUGCAAUAGAAUCAAAUUACUACUUUUGCUCAAACCAAAUCCAAGGAUAAAGGCUAAAUCGACGUGUGUAAAUACUUUUGAUGCAAAAAAAAAAUACUUUUGACUACUGCGAGUCUGUUGUUCAUUUGCUUAUUUCUCCACCAUAUUUCUAGCUAUUCUUUCAGUCGCUCAGACAUUGAUCAAGGUUUACAACAACAUACCAUUUUGUUACCCUGCGACAACAACAACAACAAGCAAAUGCUUUUUUUGUGAAACUUGUAAAAAAAUGUUCGGUGUGUAAAUAAUUUUGACUACCUCUGUAUGUUGAAUUAUUUUUGUCAGGUUCAUAAAUAGAGUCACUAUUGAACUCAUCGAGUACAGUAUUUAUUAUAGAGUUUCUGUACAAGUAAUGAAGCGUGAUAAUUUAUUUAAAUGAAACCAAUUGAACUGAACUGAAAUAUAUAGCAAUAUACUUAAAUAAUUAAUUUUUUUAUUUCUAUACUCCGGCACUUAUUUUUACUAUAAUUUUCUUUACUUUUAGAUGACAGCAUUGUACGGCGCUGAAAAAUAAGAGAACAACUCAACAUCCUACGACAAUUCUCUUCGUGUAAAAUCGGUGAAGAAAUUCUUAUCAGCACUAAAGUGUUUCCCGCAGAAUCUGAAUAAAACUCAACUCGAUACUAAAUAUCAAUUGUGGAGUAUAACUGCUCCCCAUUUGAGUGAACUUGUGUGCGCAGCUUUUGCAGUCUUUGUGUGACCUUUGAUUGUGGGUCGAUAUUUGCUUUACGCUGCUACGGCUCAAGGAUAUACCUACAGCAACAUCAAAUAAAUACAACAACAACAAUAUACCAACACUAAAUGGGUUCAGAUUCACGCUUGAUAAACCCUUUGGCAGAACGAUCCGAGACGACAGCAAUUCAUUGGACAGAGUCUAACGGUGGUCGCACUACGAGCCGUGGCGCAACGCACCCCCGAAGUGCCUACACCGGUAUAGCAUUGGCGUUCACAAAACCUUUGACCAGCUGGAAUGCUAUAUACACGCGGCUGACACGGCGGUUGAGCUGUGUUGAUGUAAGAUAUCCCAAUAAGGCACAGUAGAGCCAGCAGAAAUUUUAAAUUAUGCAUUUUCUCUCACGAAAUGUGCGUUGACCGUAAUCUAGUGUCCAACACUGAACUGAGCUUACUAAAUUUAACGCUUAGUAUGCAUAUAAGAAAGUGAGUCCCCUCUACUGCUGGAUUGCAAAGCCUUAGGACUUAAAACAGCUGCGCCCUACUUAAGAAGAAGAAAAAAUUGAAUGCCACAUCUUUUAUCAUUUACUGCAUUUUUUAUAUAAUAAUAACAAUAAGUAUUCUUCUACAUAUGAACACAAUAAACUAAACAGCUGUUAUUAAAUUGAAA